GCCCCUUAUUUUAAUAAGAUUUGCACAUAAAGUGGUGAUACCUGCCCAGUGGAGGCUAAUUAUAGUAGUUUUAAAUAUAACUAUAAAUGAGUUUAAACGGCAGCUUUAAUCGGUUUUAAUGUAGCAUAAUAAUCUGCCUCUUAAUUGGGGGAUUGAUGAAUGGUAACACGAAUGGCCCACUGUCUUAAUUAGUAGUAAUAUGAAUUUGGAGUAAUAGUGAAGAUACUAUUUAUAAUUGUAAGACGAAAAGACCCUAUGGAGCUUCACUACAACUUUUAUAUUAAAAAAAAUUAAAUUUAAUUAUUUAGUCUUGAAAAAAUGAAAGGUAGGUAGUUUAGUUGGGGUGACUGCCUUAUAUUAUAACCUAAGUGCAAACAAUAUAAUAAAUUUAUUUACUGUAUAAACUACCAUUUUAACAGUUACAAAUAGUAGGUAUAAUGACCCGUUUAUAAAUUAUAUUUUAUAAAAAGAUUUUUAAACGAUAAAUGGAUAAAAGCUACCCUAGGGAUAACAGGGUAAUUUCGGCCCGGUGAAGUCAAACUAAGCCGACGUUUACCACCUCGAUGUUGUAUUAAGAUAUCCUUGGGGCCAUAAGCUUCACAAGGUUGGACUGUUCGUCCACGAAGAUCUU
rnacentral:rRNA from 1 species